UUUUUUUCCUUUUUUUUUGUUUUGGAAGGAGGGGGGCGGCUGAGCUUAGAUAUCUUAUUGCAUUCAAUUUUUUACUUUAGCAAAACUCUAGUGAACUUGUUUACAUGAUAACGCUCUCUUUUAGUUUUUACUAAAUAUAGCUUCUUUACUUGGUAUUUUUUUCUUUGAAGUCGAUUAUGUAUUUGAGUUAUUUUUCAAAGGUUGAUGGUAGGAACUGUCCUUAGAUUAAUUGAUUCUUAAAGUUUGCGUUUGGUGGUAGAUCUAUACGCUCUGUUAUUACGAGAUUGAUUAGGUUUUGAUAAUAUGCUUACUCCCAUGUUCCUAUUUUUUAUAAUUUGCAUUUCAAUUAACCAAGUAGAAAUCAAUCUCCGUAGUGAGAACUACGAACUUAAAUUGUAAGAGCUUGUUUGGUUAACUUGUAAUCAUUUGGUGGAUGGAAUGCAAAUGUUGAUAUUCAAAUAUUAUUUUUGUGUAUCUCAUGCCUGACCUUGAUAACGGUGGUCUUUUGAAAGGCUGCAGAAUUUGGGUUACUACUUUUGUCAAUACUGAAAUUCUGCAUUUAUUUUUUCUCUUGCUUGCAUCAGGAG
rnacentral:misc_RNA from 1 species